ensembl:snRNA U2 U2 spliceosomal RNA
CUCGCUUCUCAGCCUUUUGGCUAAGAUCAAGUGUAGUACCUGUUCUUAUCAGUUUAAAGUGAUUAAACAAAAGGAUCUGUGAUCUACUCCAUGGUCAGAGCAGUUGUCCUGGAAGUGCAUCUGUACAUAGAAGCAUGCAUAAGAAAAUCCUU